rnacentral:rRNA from 1 species
UACGAAGGGGGCUAGCGUUGCUCGGAAUUACUGGGCGUAAAGCGCACGUAGGCGGCUUGUUAAGUCGGGGGUGAAAUCCUGGAGCUCAACUCCAGAACUGCCUUCGAUACUGGCGAUCUCGAGUUCGGGAGAGGUGAGUGGAACUGCGAGUGUAGAGGUGAAAUUCGUAGAUAUUCGCAAGAACACCAGUGGCGAAGGCGGCUCACUGGCCCGAUACUGACGCUGAGGUGCGAAAGCGUGGGGAGCAAACAGG